GUGAACUUCUUCACCACAGGAGCCGCCCAAGGACCCCAGAAUGCCUUGGAAGCGAGGAAAUGGCCCUGCAACCCUCCUGAUGCUGAUUCAAAGGCACUGACUGUAUUCUGUGUUCCUGAAGUCUGGAGUUAGAGAAGUCCAAGGCCAAGAAGACCCACCUGAAAAGGGCCAUAUUCCUGCAUCCUAACAUGACAGACGUCAU